CGGGGUGAGUAACGCGUGAGCAAUCUGCCUUUAGGAGGGGGAUAACAGUCGGAAACGGCUGCUAAUACCGCAUAAUACGUUUGGGAGGCAUCUCUUGAACGUCAAAGAUUUUAUCGCCUUUAGAUGAGCUCGCGUCUGAUUAGCUGGUUGGCGGGGUAACGGCCCACCAAGGCGACGAUCAGUAGCCGGACUGAGAGGUUGAACGGCCACAUUGGGACUGAGACACGGCCCAG
rnacentral:rRNA from 1 species